rnacentral:tRNA from 1 species
CGCGGGAUGGAGUAGUCAGGUAACUCGUCAGGCUCAUAACCUGAAGAUCGUAGGUUCAAAUCCUGCUCCCGCAACCA